AACAUUGUCUUAAAAUGUUGCAAUAUUUUUUUGAUUUGGAAUGAAUUUGUUUAAACCUAUAACCUUUAACAUCUGAUAUUUUUAUUGUCUAGAGCUCUGUAAAAAAAAAAAAAAAAAAUAUAUGUGAAAAAAAAAAAUAACAAAAAAUAAUAUAACAAAAUUGUAAACAGAGUUCUAGUUCAUAAACAUUGAAGAUGGAAUAAAAAGUAGGCACAUUUAAAAUUUCUUUUUAUUCAAUUCAUUUAUGAUUACAACUUAUAAGUUAUUGGUGAACUCUUUGUGCUGAACAGGUUUUUUCUUUCAUUAGUAUAUCUAGACUUAUUUUGUCAGCUUUACAAUUUGACUGGUAUUGAAAAAUUGUUUUAAGGUUGGAAUAUUUAUUUGGAAGUGCUAUUCUUUUGAUAUUUUUAUUGUCUAGAGCUCUGUAAAAAAAAAAAGAAAAAAAAAAAAGAAAAAAAUAAUAUAACAAAAUUGUAAACAAAGUUCUAGAUAAUAAACAUUGAAGGUGGAAUAAAAAAGAAAUGGGCAUAUUUAAAAUUUCUUUUUAUUCAAUAUAUUGAUGAAUACAACUCAGUUUUUGGUGAAUUCUUUGUGCUGGAUAGGUUUUUGCUUUCAUUAGAAAGUACAUAAAAUUGUUUAUUUUUCAGGUUGUACAUUUUGUAUGAUAUCGAAAAAUUGCUUAAAAGUUGGAAUAUUUAAUUGGAAGGAGGAUUCCUUGAAUUUUAGUAAUUUGGAGACCACAUCUAUCUUCUCCAAAUAUUAAAUGCUAACAUUGUCUUAAAAUUUGGCAAUAAUUUGAUUUUGAAUGACUUAAUUUGAACCUAUAAUAUUAAAAAUCUGAUAUUUUUAUUAUCAAGAGCUCUGUAAAAAAAAUUAAAAAAAAUAUGUGAAAAUAAAAAAAUAACAAAAAAUGAUAUGAAAACAAAAUUGUAAACAGAGUUCUAGAUAAUAAACAUUGAGGGUGGUUUUAAUUAAAAGUAGGCAUAUUUAAAAUUGUUUAUUAUUAUGUAUAGUGCACAGUAUAGUUUGUAAAAAUGUUUAUUGUGAAGUAUUGGAAAAAUUGUGAAACUUUGGAACUGUGUUUAUAUGAGAUGUAUAUAUUCAGUGUUCAAUGAUUGUCAUGGCAAUGGAAUACAAUAGAAUAUUGCCUUGAAGAAACUGACUUUUUUAUAUAAAGAAUUAUCCAACAAAAGUGUUCAAUGAUAUCUAAAAGAGAUGAAAGACUGAGAAAUACUAAAAGCUCAAAUUGAAGUUUUCUAUGAGAUUGGUGGAUUAAUUGCAUGAACAGUCAGACAACUGGCACACUUAUGCUAUAAGCAUAGCUAUUAAAAUAAAAUAAAGGACUUGUAUAAUAACAUUUAUGUACUAUAAAGAAGAAAUGCUCCUACAUAAUGUGCUAUAGAGAAGAUAUGUUCCUACAUAAUGCUCUAUAGUGAAGACAGAUAUUAUAUAGCACAGACAGAUGUUCCUAAGUUGCACGAAGUAUUCAGAAGACAGACAGAUUCCUUUAACAAUGGAGUAUCUAGAACACAUAGCUGAUCAGAUUUUCAGCUCUACAUUUCAUAUUCUGAUGAGAAAAAAAUCUUGAGAAAAAACUAAGUUCUUCCUGAAAAGAGAAAUAUGUGAAAUUUAAGCUGGCAGAGAUCAUGAAUUGAGGAUUAUUUGCAAACUUGAUGACUUCAGAUUUCCUGUUCCACAACUUGUUCUACAGAAAAUCCUAGGACUUUGGAGCAUAAGUUUAUAUAAUCUAGAUUGAUGAAGCAUUGAAUAUCUAAAGAGAUUAGAAUGGACAAUAUUCUGAUUAAUUGAUGAUGUACAACAAAUUGUGCUACAAGUUCAAACCAGCAAAAUAAACUGAUGGGAGUAAAACAUAAGAGCAGGAUCUCGCCUCAUACAAGUGAGGAGGAACUGAUGAACUUACAAGAAAGAAAGAAAAACAGACCAAAUAGCAUACGGAAAGAGACAGAUUAAAUCAUAGAGUAAAGGGAAAAAGAAACUAGCAACACUCUGAAAUUAAGAAGAGAAAUAAUCACCAAUAUAUACAGAGGUUAGGUCUCUGACAGUCUCAACUGAUGGUCAUAUAAACAUCUGAAGGUUAUACAAAAGGAGAAUAACAGAGACACAUGGAAUAAGGAAAGAGAAAAAUUAACUUGUAGACUAAAGGGUAGAUGAUAUUAGAAAAAUACUGAAAUUAACAGAGAAGCAAUCAACAUAGCAGCUACCUUAUCACCAGGUUAGAGAUUAGAGCUGACUCAACUGAUGAACAUAGAACAAACUUUAACAUAUUAACAGCAUAGAAAAACAAUCAACACGUCCAAGACUUAUAUUCUUGUCAAUUAAAAUAUAUGAAUGAAUUUUCAUAAUAGUAUAUUGUCAGCGGGAGAGAGAGAAAGAUAUAGAAGGGUCAGAGAGGGAGAGGGAGAACACUAUUAAUGAUGAGUGGGGAGAGAGAAGAAACAAAUAUUGCAAAAUGUAAAUUUGUCUUCAAUCAAAACACAUGGCUUGCUUUGAUGUGUCUUAAUCUAAGAAAUCUGAUAUUUUUAUUAUCUAGAUCUCUGUUAAAAAACAAUGUGAAAAAUAACAUGAAAACAAAAUUUAAACAGAGUUCUAGAUCAUAAACAGUAAGGUGGUGCAAAAAGUAGGCAUAUUUAAAAUUUUCUUUUUUUUUACCAAUAUAUUUAUGAAAUUUAAAACUUAUAAUUGAGAAUGUUUAAUAAGACGUACAAUUCUUUUGAUUUUAGAUAUUUGGAGACAAAACCUAUUCUUCUACUUUUUAUUGUACUCUAAUAGUGUCAUAAAUUUGCAAUAUUCUUAUCCUUGCUUAUACCUUGAACCUUAGACAUCUAAUAUUUUUAUUACCUAGAACUCUGUAAAAAAAAAAAUGACAAAAAAUAAUAUGAAAACAAAAUUGUAAACAGAGUUCUAGAUAAUAAACAUUAAGGAUGGUGUAAAUAGUGAGUAUGCUUCAAAAUUCACACGAACCCCACCCCAAAUAUAUUUAUGAAAUUAAAUACAACAUAUAUUAUUGUGAAUGAUUUGUGUUUGAUAAGUUUUUUCCUUUCAUUAGUUAUAUUAUAUUGAUUGGUAAACUGUACAUUUUUCUUAUGUAUUGAAAGUGGCUUUAAAGUUUACAUGUUUAAUCGGAAGUAGAAUUCUUUUAAUAUUAGAUAUUGGAGACAAAACCUAUCUUCCCCAUAUAUUGAACUAAAACAGUGUCUUAAAUUUGCAAUAUUCUUAUUUUGAAUGUCUUUGCUAAUAGCUUUACCCUUAGACAUCCAAUAUGUUUAUUAUCUAGAGCUCUGUAGAAAAAGAAAAAUAACAAAAAAUAAUAUGGACACAAAAUUGUAAACAGAGGGUGGUGUAAAAAGUUGAUAUAUUUUGAAUUCUUAAAUUUCCUUAAAGUUUGAAUGUUUAAAUGGAAGUAGAAUUCUUUCGAUUUUAGAUGUUUUGAGAUUAAAAAAAAAACAAAAAACUAUUAUCUCUGUAUACUAUGUAACAGUGUCUUUAAUUUUGCAAUAUUGUGAUUUUGAAUGUCUCUUUUAACAAUUAAAUUUCCUAUCAGUAAUUAAAAAAUGGGUGAAUUUC